UAGGGGAGGAAGUGUUGCUGUGCGCUGUGAGAAUGAGAUUGUAUCCCUCGGUGGAUCCUGCUCGCAGAGGCCAGAGGUUUACAGACCUGGCCACGUGAGAGCCCACCGAGGCAUUUUGGAGGUCCUGGAAUUUAUCCUUUAAGAUAAGUGUGGGGUGAGGUGGAGCUGGAUGAUAAUAAAGAGAAGUAGGUUGACGUAUUUUUAAUUCUGAUACGAUGGAUGUUGGGGGGAGAGAAAAACUUAUUUGGGGGCUAAGUUAAAAACAGAAAAGAAAAGCAACCCCUCACUACCACCCACACAUAUAUGCCAAAAUGUUAGCUAGUUCCUGUGAGUGGUGGGAAUAUGGGUGCUUGAAUAUCACUUUUGUGUGCGCGCGCUUCUGGAACCCCUGGGGGGUGGGGGGAACCCGUCCUCUAAAAUAAAAUGUCAUUCCUAUCUUUGGAUUAUCUUUCUUGAACUCGCAAAGUUAUGUAAUCAUCGGAACGGUUACCCUGAUUGCAGCCUGAGCCAAGUUGAACGAGAGCGUGCAGCAGAUAAAAGGAGAAUUUGCACAUUUCGCGCUUCGGGGCCCCAGGGCGGAAGAGGAAAGCGACUUUACGGAGGCAGGCUGUUCAGGCGGGUCCCGGGCUCUGCAGACUACCAGAGGAACUUAGGUGCGUCCCUCUCCGGCUCCUCAGCCUCUCCAAAUGCGUCCCUUUCCAGGGGGCCCCCAAACUGUGCCACCCCCCGGGGGCUGCGCGUCGCCUUCGGCUGGGUUUGGAAGUGCCGCCCACGCUGAGCAGACACAUCUGCUUCCUUUCCUGACCUUUCCGUUUAUCUGUUUCUUCCGGCAUUGCUUUACAAAGCCCCUUCCUUCCGCGGAGAGAUUCAUUUUGUUUCUCAAGACACGCUGGAUGCACGGAUUCCCUUUCCCGGAUGCCAUCGAGGUGACUGCCACCUGGGCAUCCAUUCACCCUCGACUGCUGAGGUUCAGGGCUCCCCUGACUCCUCAGCUGCACACUCCACUGUCCAGUCACCAACUCGCUCUCCCGUGCUAAGGCUGUGCCCACCAGAAGUCACACGAAGUCAGCCCAAGGCACUGAGCCCAGUUGAUGACUCUUGGGAUUGGUGCCCAGCGCUGCUGUGAACAUCUGCCUGUGGAGGUCACGAUGGCUCUUGCCCAACUCCAGGAGACCUUGGGCUCCUCCCGGGCAGGGUGUAUCAUUGCUAUGGCAUUUGGAGCAGGAGUAUGAAAGACCGAGAUUCACUACGUGGACAAAUAGUUAUGGAACACCUACUGUGCCAGACAUUGUUCUGGGCGGUGAAGCAGGGGUUGAGUAAGUCAGACAAGGCCUUUCUUUCAUGGAGAGUCAUUGGUAAGCCAGACAGACAAUAAACAAAGAUGCAAAUAAAAAUUUCAGCUUCUGAUAAGUGUCAGGGAAAAAAAGAAAAGAAUACUGAACUCAUUUUCUUACUGUGUGCCAAAAAUUAUCUCAUUGCAUCUUCAAGACAACCCCAGGGAGUAUGUACUAUUCCUAGCACCCCAUUUUACAGAUGAAGAAAUCAAGGCACAGAGAGGCUAAUUGCUGAAGGCCACACAGCUAGGAAAUAAGAGAGCAAGACUGGAACUCAGGACAGCCUGGAAGCACAGCCCUGUUUUGUAUUCAGUAAAUCUAUAUAGCAAAGACCCAGAGGCUGUCACAAGCCCUGAC
rnacentral:lncRNA from 1 species